ensembl:lncRNA
CUCUUUCUGGAGAUCCCUUCUUGGUGAAGCUUUCCCCUGUGAACCUGGAAUCUUCUGAUAUGGGCAAAGCAAUGUGUUGCUGAGAAGCUGUGCCUCCUUUUCCUGAUGAGCCUCCAAACCUCCUGUGCUGCGAGUCAGUGAUGAAAUAACCAUCGUCUGCCUGAAGCUUUUAGUGCUGAACGUGAAAAGUUCUCUGGGCUGCCAGCAGGUGGGACCUGUGAUCAAACAGAAUAUAACAACUUGCACCUGGAUUGCAAGAUGAUUCUGAGACCACAAUCAUCUCCAUAGGAUGCUGUAACCCACACUAGGCUACAGAGGAGGAAAAGAAGGAGGCAGCCAAUGUUGUGUUGGAAGGGUAGAGAAGCACAAAAAAGGAGAUGAAAGGUUUCAGUUAGAUGGACCGUGUUCCUAAGCAUCUGCAUCCAGCUUCUUAAAUGCAGACCUGUGGGCUCUUGGUUCCUGCAGCAUCCGGGAUGAAUCUAUAGUUUUUAUACUUGUUUUGAACUACCCGAUCUUGCUGAAAAAUUGUAGAGACAAUAGCACACUUUUACUCCUGGGACAGCCAGCUGAUGAUGAAGAAAUAACAUUAUGUGAAUGGCUGUCUCAAAAAAAAUUCUGCCACUUGUUGCUCUCACUCAUUCAUGUGUGCUGGUAACAGGAAAGGAUGUCUUGAGACUUGUUUCCCAUGUCACUCUGUACAUGCCUUACUUUCUUCCUACCCCAGUGCCAUAUAGCUUUGUUUCUAGGUUGUCCCAUGCUUCUGCAUCCUUUGAUGUACGUUGAAUCUAGAGUACUAUAGCACCAACUCUAAAAGAUCAUAAAGACAUAUAUUGAGUAAUCCAUCAAACGCCAACCAUCCUGAUCAGUGACCAAAGCAGAGGCAGUGGGAAAUAAAAGUAAAUGGACUCUGGCAUAACAUAGCCAGCCAAGUAGCUAUGCAGUCAUUACACAGACAUUCUUAGUUCAAGCAUUUCCUGACUUUAGAUCAAUUCACCUGUGGACAUUUAAUGUUCUCUACAUGAAGGCAAUUUCUGAGUGCAAUUGGUGCUUAUAUUUUUUAAUGCUUACCUCCACCAAAUUGAUGCAUAACCUGAAUUUCAACAUCGGUAUCUAUGUUUAUUUACAAUUACUGUUGUUGCUACGGUUAUGUGGUGUCCUGAAAAUGCUUGGUCUUUCUUCUCGUAUUUAUGUUUCAGAUGGGGCUUGGUCAGCUAAAGUAAAUACCUUGCCUUAAUUUAAGUUUUAUGCUUGCUGUAAAACCUG